rnacentral:lncRNA from 1 species
UGCUUCUACCUGGACGAAGAUGGAAGUUUAGAAGGUGGACGACAUUGUGAAGUUGGUGACAUCACUCAAGCGUGAUGACAGCUGGCUGGCCAUUGCCUUGCUGAAGUGCCUGCUCUGAAUGAAGAAGAACUGGGUCCUGCAGUAUGUCCACAGGAAGAAGACUGUGUGUGAGUGCAGCCUCCAUGUUCACUGUGCCUCAUGCCAUCCCUGAUGUCAGGGGGAAAUGAAUGGUCAUUUAAAAAUUCCGGCUGGCUAAAGAGCUGGUGGUUUGAAUGAAUGCAUCUAAUUGCAAAAUGUGAAGGACUGCCCCUGGUAUUAAAAAGAUGGAUGAUUCUGUGAAGGGAAUGUGCUAAGACUUGUUUGUUGAAAAUGGAAUUAUUAAUGACUUGUCAGUAAAUUUAAGAAUGCCUU